GAUGGUUUAAUAAGAGGUUUUCUCCCUUUUGCUUGGCACUUCCCCUUGCUGCUGCCACCAUGUGAAGGAGGACGUGUUUGCUUCCCCUUCUGCCUUGAAAAUUUCUUGAUGCCUCCCCAACCAUGCUGAACUGCAACAAAAAUGAAGUCUUCUGACCCACUACCAUAUCUGGGUAAAAUCUUUGGCUCAACGGAUGGCUUAAAUAUGACCUUUUUCAGUUUCAAGCAGGUUCCAUUGAGAGGCAUCUAGCAACUCUGGAUACAUCAACAACCUUGAUUCACCUUCAAGGAACAUUACCUAGAAAACACUAUAAAGUGUGGCUGUGAUGCAUGGAGACCAGCAACCCCAAGUCAUACCCUUCACUGUGGAAGAAUUGGGGUAAAUAUCAACAAUUGGUACAUAUCACUAUCAACAAUUGGUAAAUAUCAAUAAUUACAUCAUGUCCCUUCUGUUUGUCAAUAGUAAAUGAAGUUACAUUGUUUCAUUUGUUUGCAAUAGUUAAGCAUCACCAAAAUAAAAAAAUUAACACUUUGAGGACUAGAGUUUUCUUCAUAUGGUGAGCUGCUAUCUAGUAGGUUAGGAAGCCUUAUAAAUAUCAUAAAAAGAUAUCACUCCUGUAAGUAAGAAGCCACUCACCAUUUUCUAAUGCUUAGAUACAUAUUUUGAUUAUGCCAAAUGCAAAAUUGAUUUUUAAAACUUUAUUCAACUUCAUGAUAUGAAGAAGAAAUAGAGGCAAUAAGCAGUAUUUAAAGCAUUUGACUAUGUCACUGAUCC
rnacentral:lncRNA from 1 species